rnacentral:rRNA from 1 species
GGAAAAGUUAUUAAGAGUACAUGGAGGAUGUUUAGGCGCUGAGAAGCGACGAAGGACGUGGAAGGCUGCGAAAAGCCACGAUGAGCUGUCAACAAGCGAAUGAGUCGUGGGUGUCCGAAUGGAGCAAUCCCCCAGAUAGAAGAUUUGGGAUCUGUAUCUGAAUAAAUAGGGUACAGAAGCGAACGGUGAGAAUUGAAACAUCUUAGUACCACCAGGAAAAGAAAGCAAAAGCGAGUCCCUGAGUAGCGGCGAGCGAAAGGGGAAAAGCCUAAACCGUAUGACUGUGAUAGGUUCCAGCCGUUGGUAAUGCGGGGUAGCGGGAGUUACAGUGGGUGUCUGGAAGCACCUAACGGAGUAAGAAAGUAGGAGUUUAGCAGAAUGAGUCUGGAAAGGCUCAGCCGUAGAGGGUGAAAGCCCCGUAGGCGAAAAGCUCGUACCUCCGAGUAACCACCCGAGUAGCGUCGGACACGGGAAACCCGGCGUGAAUCAGGGAGGACCACCUCCUAAGGCUAAGUAUUCCUCAGCGACCGAUAGCGAACAAGUAGAGCGAUCGAAAAAUGAAAAGAACCCCGUUGAGGGG